rnacentral:rRNA from 1 species
UCGGGAAUUUUGGGCAAUGGGCGAAAGCCUGAUCCAGCCAUGCCGCGUGUGUGAAGAAGGUCUUCGGAUUGUAAAGCACUUUAAGUUGGGAGGAAGGGCAGUAACCUAAUACGUUGCUGUCUUGACGUUACCGACAGAAUAAGCACCGGCUAACUCUGUGCCAGCAGCCGCGGUAAUACAGAGGGUGCAAGCGUUAAUCGGAAUUACUGGGCGUAAAGCGCGCGUAGGUGGUUUGUUAAGUUGGAUGUGAAAUCCCCGGGCUCAACCUGGGAACUGCAUUCAAAACUGACUGACUAGAGUAUGGUAGAGGGUGGUGGAAUUUCCUGUGUAGCGGUGAAAUGCGUAGAUAUAGGAAGGAACACCAGUGGCGAAGGCGACCACCUGGACUGAUACUGACACUGAGGUGCGAAAGCGUGGGGAGCAAACAGGAUUAGAUACCCAAGUAGUCCCUGAGCGGGCUGGCAAGGCGCAU